rnacentral:rRNA from 1 species
CCUGACUGCUAUCGGAUUGAUACUAAGCCAUGCGAGUCUUUGUAGCAAUACAAGGCAUACGGCUCAGUAACACGUAGUCAAUCUACCCUAUGGACGGGGAUAACCUCGGGAAACUGAGAAUAAUACCCGAUAGAUCAUUAUGCCUGGAAUGGUUUAUGAUCCAAAUGAAUUUCGCCAUAGGAUGGGACUGCGGUCUAUCAGCUUGUUGGUGAGGUAAUGGCCCACCAAGGCUAUAACAGAUACGGGCUCUGAGAGGAGAAGCCCGGAGAUGGGUACUGAGACACGGACCCAGGUCCUAUGGGGCGCAGCAGGCGAGAAAACUUUGCAAUGUGCGAAAGCACGACAAGGUUAAUCCGAGUGUUUCCUGCUAAAGGAAUCUUUUGUUAGUUGUAAAACCACUAGUGAAUAAGGGGUGGGCAAGUUCUGGUGUCAGCCGCCGCGGUAAAACCAGCACCUCAAGUGGUCAGGAGGUUUAUUGGGCCUAAAGCAUCCGUAGCCUGAUCUAUAAGUUUCCGGUUAAAUCCACAUGCUCAACAUUUGGGCUGCCGGAAAAACUGUAGAUCUAGGGAGUGGGAGAGGUAGACGGUACUCGGUAGGAAGGGGUAAAAUCCUUUGAUCUAUUGAUGACCACCUGUGGCGAAGGCGGUCUACCAGAACACGUUCGACGGUGAGGGAUGAAAGCUGGGGGAGCAAACCGGAUUAGAUACCCGGGUAGUCCCAGCUGUAAACGAUGCAGACUCGGUGAUGCAUUGGCUUGUGGCCAGUGCAGUGCCGCAGGGAAGCCGUUAAGUUUGCCGCCUGGGAAGUACGUACGCAAGUAUGAAACUUAAAGGAAUUGGCGGGGGAGCACCACAAGGGGUGAAGCCUGCGGUUC